UACGUAGGGGGCAAGCGUUGUCCGGAAUCAUUGGGCGUAAAGAGCGUGUAGGCGGUCCGGUAAGUCGGUUGUGAAAGUCCAGGGCUCAACCCUGGGAUGCCGACCGAUACUGUCGGACUAGAGUUCGGAAGAGGCGAGUGGAAUUCCCGGUGUAGCGGUGAAAUGCGCAGAUAUCGGGAGGAACACCUAUGGCGAAGGCGGCUCGCUGGGACGUUACUGACGCUGAGACGCGAAAGCGUGGGGAGCAAACAGG
rnacentral:rRNA from 1 species